AUGAAAUCUUAUGCUGUCCUUCUCAAAUAUCAUCUUCAACCUAGCAUAUUAUGAAUUUUUCAGGACAUGGAUGGGGGCGAAAGGAGCAAUAAACAGCACCGCAAAUGAGGACCCACAUUAUAGGGGUAUAUUUAGAUCAACAGGGCCUUCUAAGGAAAAAAUAGCAAACCGAAGAUAGUUCUGCUAAAAACGGAGUCGAUGAGUACAGCAGAAUGUAGAGGCAAUCUUCAGAAGCAAAGGUUUAUUACAAGAUGAAAUCCGCCAUGGAAACAAAAGCUAGCUUCCUGGGCUUCCAAAGUUGAAGAUGCUUGCUUGAGAGGAAAGUCGAUCAAAGAUGUGAACUUCUAUCAAAUCUGAUAAAUCUUCUAAGACUGACAGCGGGAUCCUUUUCGCAGCACACUUCUCUGUGAGGACGUUAACAGCAAUACUCCACAAAUUCGCAGAAUAUAAAUAACAGAGUUGGAAGCAGUGGUGAAAUGUAAAAUUUGUUACUACCGGUUCUGUGGGCGUGGCUUGUUGGGGGGGGGGUAAUAUGACUGAGUGGGCGUGGCCAACUUUUUUUUUUUUAACUUUUAAAGCCAUUUUUUCUACAACUUCUUCUGCUGAAAAGGUUGUAAAAAAAAUGCUUUUAAAGCCUCCGACGAUCCCAGCUGACUUGC